rnacentral:sRNA from 1 species
CUGUCUCCUAAACAGAGGCACGGUUGC